GUUUGGGCCAGACUCCCCCUCUAUGGGUGACCCAACACGUUGAAUAUUUAAUUAAAUGGGAUAGAGUGUAAAGUCAGGGUUCGAACUAAAGAUCUCUACUUUGAUGCUAUGUGAAAUCACCAUUUAUCUUAAAAAUUUAA